CUCCGACAUGACGCAUGUCGUGUCGGGAAAGAUUCAUCGGUAUGGGAUGGGGUCGCGUCCUAUCAGCUUGAUGGCGGGGUAACGGCCCACCAUGGCUUCGACGGGUAGCCGGCCUGAGAGGGCGACCGGCCACAUUGGGACUGAGAUACGGCCCAGACUCCUACGGGAGGCAGCAGUGGGGAAUAUUGCACAAUGGGCGCAAGCCUGAUGCAGCGACGCCGCGUGCGGGAUGACGGCCUUCGGGUUGUAAACCGCUUUUGACUGGGAGCAAGCCCUUCGGGGUGAGUGUACCUUUCGAAUAAGCACCGGCUAACUACGUGCCAGCAGCCGCGGUAAUACGUAGGGUGCAAGCGUUAUCCGGAAUUAUUGGGCGUAAAGGGCUCGUAGGCGGUUCGUCGCGUCCGGUGUGAAAGUCCAUCGCUUAACGGUGGAUCCGCGCCGGGUACGGGCGGG
rnacentral:rRNA from 1 species